rnacentral:rRNA from 1 species
UACGUAGGGUGCGAGCGUUGUCCGGAAUUAUUGGGCGUAAAGAGCUUGUAGGCGGUUUGUCGCGUCUGCCGUGAAAAUCCGGGGCUCAACCCCGGACUUGCGGUGGGUACGGGCAGACUAGAGUGUGGUAGGGGGAGACUGGAAUUCCUGGUGUAGCGGUGAAAUGCGCAGAUAUCAGGAGGAACACCGGUGGCGAAGGCGGGUCUCUGGGCAGUAACUGACGCUGAGGAGCGAAAGCGUGGGGGAGCGAACAGG